UACGGAGGGUGCGAGCGUUGUCCGGAAUCAUUGGGCGUAAAGGGCGCGUAGGUGGCGGGACAAGCGUGCGGUGAAAGCCUGGGGCUCAACCCCGGGUCGGCCGUGCGAACUGUUUUGCUUGAGCACUGUAGAGGCAGGCGGAAUUCCGGGUGUAGCGGUGAAAUGCGCAGAUAUCAGGAGGAACACCGAUGGCGAAAGCAGGUCUCUGGGCAUUAACUGACGCUGAGGAGCGAAAGCAUGGGGAGCGAACAGG
rnacentral:rRNA from 1 species